UAUUUGAAUGCCGCUCAGUGUUUUAAAGUGUUUGUUGUACUUUCUGUCUCUGUAUUAAUAUUCAGGGGGGGGGCAGUCGGCAGGGGGGGGUGGCGGGGUGGCGUGGGAGCUGAAGGGCAGCUCGGCGGCAGCUGCUCGGCGGUGCUGUUCUCCGGGUGUCGGUGUGUUGGAGGAAAAGGUCACCUUAUCUAAAGACAGACCUGCGGCUCUCAGACAGGUGGCUCUGCCUGCUGGUCCAGAUGUUUUUUUGUCCUCUUUAGCUUCCCGUAGAUGUAGUCGCUGUUGACACGCAGUGACCUCCGCAGGAGGCAGAGGUCUGAGCUUCAGAUCCAAACACAUGUUCCUUCCUCCAUCACACUCAAACGUCCUUUUUUACUCUCAUUCAACUUUUCUACAAAAUGUUUCUGCACUUUUUAAUCAAAGAGGAUGAAGAGUUCAACUGAUCUGAACUCCAUCUUCACACAGAGGGGGGGUGGACAAAAUAACAGAAACACCUCAAUAUGAGGACGGGUUGUUACAUUUUUUAAAGUUUGAUCUAAAAAUAAAAGGUUUCUGCUGCUGAUGUAUUAUUAUAUAUAUUGUAAUUUACUGUAUUAAACUAUAUUAUAUUAUAUUGUAUUAUAUUAUAUUAUAUUGUAUUAUAUUAUAUUAUAUUAUAUUAUAUUAUAUUAUAUUAUAUUGUAUUAUAUUGUAUUAAACUAUAUUAUAUUAUAUUAUAUUGUAUUAUACUGUAUUAUAUUAUAUUAUAUUGUAUUAAACUAUAUUAUAUUAUAUUAUAUUGUAUUAUAUUGUAUUAUAUUAUAUUAUAUUGUAUUAUAUUGUAUUAUACUGUAUUAUAUUAUAUUAUAUUGUAUUAAACUAUAUUAUAUUAUAUUGUAUUAUAUUGUAUUAUAUUAUAUUGUAUUAAACUAUAUUAUAUUAUAUUAUAUUGUAUUAUAUUGUAUUAUAUUAUAUUAUAUUGUAUUAUAUUGUCAGUUGUAACAUGUAUUUUGUCCAAACCUUACUUAUCUAUGAAAUCAAAUUUUAAAAAGUCAAAAAGCAGGACUGUUAAUUUAAACAAGGUGUAAAGUCUGUGUCCAACUCUUCCUCACAGGUUAGUUAAUGACAGACAGUCAGUGAGUGUGUCUGUGUCCAACUCUUCCUCACAGGUUAGUUAAUGACAGACAGUCAUUGAGUGUGUCUGUGUCCAACUCUUCCUCACAGGUUAGUUAAUGAUGUUACUGAGUCAAUGUGAGCAGAUUGUGUCUGUAGAUUGAAGAGAAUCAGAGUCUCACUGAUGGUGGAAAUAAAGGUUUUACCUCCUUAAAACAGCCGUUUUUUGAAUGGAGUUUGGUGUGACAGUGUGGAGCAGAGGGGAUUUGAACCUUAAUAAUUCCCAUAAACUGAGCUGACCUACCUUCUAAUAAUGAACCUAGUAAACAGCAGAAAGUAACAGGAAGUGGAGAUAAACCCUCCUGUUUUCUUCUUCUGUGGUCUCGUAGUAAAAGGUGGAUUAAUGAACACAAACAUUGGUUUACAGUAACGUCACAUUGGGCAGACAGACACAGAGACAGAGGAUUCAAUAAGGUCGC
rnacentral:lncRNA from 1 species